AGAGUUUGAUCCUGGCUCAGGAUGAACGCUGGCGGCGUGCCUAAUACAUGCAAGUCGAGCGAACAGAUAAGGAGCUUGCUCCUUUGAAGUUAGCGGCGGACGGGUGAGUAACACGUGGGUAACCUACCUAUAAGACUGGGAUAACUUCGGGAAACCGGAGCUAAUACCGGAUAACAUUUAGAACCGCAUGGUUCUAAAGUGAAAGAUGGUUUUGCUAUCACUUAUAGAUGGACCCGCGCCGUAUUAGCUAGUUGGUAAGGUAACGGCUUACCAAGGCGACGAUACGUAGCCGACCUGAGAGGGUGAUCGGCCACACUGGAACUGAGACACGGUCCAGACUCCUACGGGAGGCAGCAGUAGGGAAUCUUCCGCAAUGGGCGAAAGCCUGACGGAGCAACGCCGCGUGAGUGAUGAAGGGUUUCGGCUCGUAAAACUCUGUUAUUAGGGAAGGACAAAUGUGUAAGUAACUGUGCACAUCUUGACGGUACCUAAUCAGAAAGCCACGGCUAACUACGUG
rnacentral:rRNA from 1 species